GCACUGGUCGUUCAGUGGUAGAAUUCUCGCCUGCCACGCGGUAAGCCCGGGUUCGAUUCCCGGCCAGUGCA
rnacentral:tRNA from 2 species